rnacentral:rRNA from 1 species
GAUGAACGCUAGCGGCAGGCCUAAUACAUGCAAGUCGAGCGGCAAGUCGAGGAGUAAUCUGAGACCUAGAGCGGCGUACGGGUGCGUAACGCGUAUGCAACCUACCUCAUACAGGGGGAUAGCCCGGAGAAAUCUGGAUUAAUACCCCAUAGCACAGCACAAGGGCAUCUGCGAGCUGUUAAAGAUUCAUCGGUAUGAGAUGGGCAUGCGUAUGAUUAGCUAGUUGGCGGUGUAACGGACCACCAAGGCGACGAUCAGUAGGGGUUCUGAGAGGAAGGUCCCCCGCACGGGCGCUGUGAUACGGGGCAGGCUCCUAAGGGAGGCAGCAGUAGGGAAUAUUGGGCAAUGGACGAGAGUCUGACCCAGCCAUGCCGCGUGCCGGAAGAAGGCCUUCUGUGUUGUAAACUGCUUUUAUCUGGGAAGAAAAGGCCCAUGCGUGGGACAUUGCCGGUACCAGAUGAAUAAGCACCGGCUAACUCCGUGCCAGCCGCCGCAGUAA